rnacentral:lncRNA from 1 species
UAUGCGAUUGUUUGUUUGUGUACCUUAUUCUUAAAAAAAAAAAAAAAGAAAAAAAAAUUAGUAGGUCAUCAGGAUUCAUCUAUCCUGCAUUUUACGCACCUACUUGAGUGAUGAACAUCGCUGCAUCAAGCGGAAGGUGACAAACUAGGUUUAUUUAAGAAUCACAUGUCUGCAGCCAUGUCUCUUUUUGUUAAUGUAAUACGCAAACUGUAUUUUUGCUAGGGGGUGCGGUGGUGCAGUGGGUUGGACCGCAGUCCUGCUCUCCGGUGGGUCUGGGGUUCGAGUCCUGCUUGGGGUGCCUUGCGACGGAUUGGCGUCCCGUCCUGGGUGUGUCCCCUCCCCCUCCGGCCUUACGCCCUGUGUUACCGGGUAGGCUCCGGUUCCCUGCGACCCUGUAUGGGACAAGCGGUUCUGAAAGUGUGUGUGUGUGUGUGUGUAUUUUUGCUGAGAUUUACGUCGCUUUGGAGAAAAGCGUCUGCUAAAUGAAUAAAUGUAAAUGUAAAUAUAUAUCAGCCAAAUCAGAGGAAGCCUAGCACAUGGCCCACUCUCAGUGCCUCCUUCUCUCAAAGUUUAUAAAGGAGCCUCUUGUACACACGUUUGCAUGUAUAUAUGUAUAUUAUAUGUACUGUGCAUAUGCAUAUAUGCAUAAAUCGGAAACAUAAGGAACAAUGGCUUUUCGGCACGAGACUGUGCUGCCACGGAGUCCGUCGUUCUGAGGAUGCUCUGUACUUUAUGCUCUGACUGUGCAUUUUUACUAUUAUUGUAAGAAAUGUGAAGGGUUAUAGACUACGUUAAUGUUAAGGGAGGGAGAUUUCACCUUCAGUUUAUGAGUGUGUUCACAGAGGACCGGACACGGUGGUUCCACUCUGCACCUCCAUGACGUCGUGCCGUCAGGAGGCCAAGCUGGGAGCCGCUGCUCCCCUGCAAGCAGCACUUUGCUGAGAUGAGCAUAAAUUUCCCCCACAGCAGCGCUUGGAGAUGAAGGAUCCCUGGAAUGGAACAGCAAGGACUCCUGAUGGACACCACAGGUCCUUUGGGCUUUGGGAGACCACAGGGCCUCUGCGAUAUCACAUUGCAGCGACGCUCAUCAUCCGCUGGUCCGACACUUGCACGCAGAGCCGCUUUCUUCAGCUCCACUCAUUUCCUCUCUGCAUGCUUUUACUUCGAUGGUUUACUGUUUUGCAUAUUUAUAACACACCCA